CCUGCCCACUGAUAUAAAUUUAAUGGCCGCGGUAUUAUGACCGUGCAAAGGUAGCAUAAUCAUUAGUCUUUUAAUUAAAGGCUUGUAUGAAUGGUUGGACAAAAGAAAAACUGUCUAUCUUUAAUAAAAAUUGAAUUUAACUUUUAAGUGAAAGGGCUUAAAUAUUUCAAAGGGACGAUAAGACCCUAUAAAGCUUUAUAAAAAAUAAAAGUUAAGUUGAAGUUUUUAUUAAAAUUUAAGAUUUAUAUUUUUAUUAGGUUGGGGCAACAGAGGUAUAAUUAUAAAUAACUGCUUUAUUUAUAAACAAAUAUAUUUGCAUUAAGUUAAUUGACCCUUUAUUUAAAGAUUUAAAGAUUAAGUUACUUUAGGGAUAACAGCGUUAUUUUUUUUGAGAGUUCUUAUCGAAAAAAGAGUUUGCGACCUCGAUGUUGAAUUAAAAUUUCUAUAUAAUGUAGUUGUUAUAUAAG
rnacentral:rRNA from 1 species